AUGCAAAAACACGGGUGUCAUUUCGUUUUCAAACAGACGAUUCCAACUCUGGUGCCCAGGGCCCGGCUGGGGCCCAACGGGACGGCAGGAGGAAAGAGGGAGGCCCACGCUUCUCCUCCCAAGUGGCUGGUGUCCACCGGGCUCCCUCUCAGCCUCACACUCUGCGUCCCUCUGGGUGUCCUCGUGCAGGCCCGUGGCUUCCAACACCUCCUGGACACAAACCAUGCCUCUUCUCCACCCCUGAGCCCCAAACCCAUUCCUUCUCUGAUCUCUUCCUCUAGACUUUCCUUCAUGUCCCCACCCAGCUCCCCAAAAAUGCCAGGUUCGCUCCCAAAUCACAGAAUGUGCACAUACAGUUCCCUCUGCCUGGAACACAAGCCUCCCAGAUACCCAUCGCACUCGUUCCUUCACCUUUUUAAGUCUAGACUCAAAUAUCACAGGAGGUCAUUCCUGGUCACCCUUAGAACCAAAGUUCCAGCCCCACUGGCAGCCCUCCCUGCCCCCUCCCUGCCCCCUCCCUGCUCAAGUUCUCCGCAGCACUUACACAGCUGUACACUCCAUAACUUACUGUUUAUAUAUUGUCUUCUCCCGCUGUUAGAAUUUUGGCUUCACCUGUGAUGGUGAAGAGGAAGCGGGCCUGCCCCACCAAGAGCUCCUGAGCAUUUGCCCCUGCACCCAGAGCAAUAAAGAUGUUAAUCGUCAAAAAAAAAAUUUUUUUUUUUUGGCCUCAUGAGGGUAAAGCUUUGGAGUUUUUUCCCGUUCUGCAUCUUUGGUACCAGGAACUGGACUCAGCACACAGGAGGCUCCCUAUAAAUGUGAUUGAAUAUGAGGAAGCAGAAGUGCAGAGAGCUCAUCAGUCUCACCCCAGUCCAGCAUGAUCAUGUGAAAUGAUGUUUGUGAGCGUUCUCUAAACUAUAGGUAGUGAUAAUUGUCAUUUCCCCCCGACUCCUAAGAAUUAGGAUCCCAGGGGCGCCUAGGGGGCUCAGUCAGUCAGCAUCUGACUUGAUUUCAGCUCAUGUCAUGAUAUCAGGGUUGUGAGACUGACCCCCGACUGGAGCUCUGGGUGUGGAGCCUGCUAAAGAUUCUUCCUCCCUCUCCCUCUGCCCCUCCCACACCCCACACCCCACACCUGUGUGAGCACACAUGCUCUGCCUCUUUCUAAAAAAAAAAAAAGAAAGAAAGAAUUGACACCCCAGGGGGCAGGAACUAGAGUGACGACCUUCGAGAUCAGCUAGUCUAUCUCAUUAUGUUACAGGUGAAGACAAGAGGUACCUCUUGUACCUAUGCUUUGGAAAUCCAGGUCACUUCUAGGCUCAUGUUGGAUGGCUUUGGACAAAACAGUUUGGGCUAACCUCUCAGACUGUACCUCCCUGUGAGGAGCAAAGUCAGCAGGCCAUCCAUCCGUCUUUCAAUCCUUUCAUCCUUCCAUCCCUCUAUCCAUACAUACAUCCGUCCACCCAUCUUUGCAACCAUCACUCAUCCUUCCGUCCAUUUAUCCUUCCUCUGUCUAUCUAUACAUUCUUCCCUCCAUCCAUCCUUCCAACCAACCAUCACUCAUACUUCUCUCCAUUAGCCACCCAUCCUUUCAUUCUGUAUCCAUUUUUCCUUUAUUUUUUCCACCUGCCAGCUUGUCUAUCCUUCUCUGCAUCUGCUUCUCCUCUAUACUUUUAUUCAUCCAUUUCGGAAAUCAUUUAUCCAAAUCCAAUCUUUUACCCACUGUUCAUCCUUCCAUUCAUCCAUCACUUCAUACAG
rnacentral:lncRNA from 1 species